rnacentral:lncRNA from 1 species
CAAAAAGAGAUUCCAGUUUCUGUUUGUCAUUACCAGUUUCAUGGCAAUUGUUAAUAGGGUUGAAACUGGAAAAAGGAUUGCACACCAUCAUGCCUUGGCCAAAUUUCAUCUCCAGUAACUGUAUUGAACCACCUUAAUAUCUUCCUGUGGUUUCCAUUAUUGAUCAUAUUGCUAUGUUUUAUUGCCCUUGCUGUGUUUUCCUCAAGAUGUACUGCCUUUUGCUGGUUUUACAAGCAAAACAGUUGACUGCAAAAUAUUAAAGACCUCUGACAGCUUCUUAUUAAAGCAGUGUCACAUCCUGAAGUCCUUGGUUAGCUUUUUCACUCUUUUUCACUACGUUUCUGUCCCUGACUUAGUGACUCAGUGAAAAAUAGUUCGAAGAAAGGAAAUACAGAUUUUAGCAUUUGGUCCCAAAAUAUUUUAUAAAUUGUGAAGUCUAAAUUGCAAAGAUGCUAAC